UAACUGUAGAAAUGAGGUCUAUCACAGGCAAAUAGGUCCUGCAAUGUUCCAACAGAUGACAGAGCAGGUUUGUGAGCAAUGUCCAAUUAUCAAAUAUGAAAGAGAGGGGUACUUCAUCACUGUUGAUAUCGAGAAAGGGAUGCAAGAUGGACAAGGAAUUCUGAAGCGUAGGAUGAAAUAUCUCGGGGAAUGAUAACUGGUC